GACGAACGCUGGCGGCGUGCUUAACACAUGCAAGUCGAGCGGUAAGGCCCUUCGGGGUACACGAGCGGCGAACGGGUGAGUAACACGUGAGCAAUCUGCCCUUCACUCUGGGAUAACCCCCGGAAACGGGAGCUAAUACCGGAUAUGACCACUUCACGCAUGUGAUGGGGUGGAAAGUUCUGGCGGUGGAGGAUGAGCUCGCGGCCUAUCAGCUUGUUGGUGGGGUAAUGGCCCACCAAGGCUUCGACGGGUAGCCGGCCUGAGAGGGUGACCGGCCACACUGGGACUGAGACACGGCCCAGACUCCUACGGGAGGCAGCAGUGGGGAAUAUUGGACAAUGGGCGAAAGCCUGAUCCAGCAACGCCGCGUGAGGGAUGACGGCCUUCGGGUUGUAAACCUCUUUCAGCGCAGACGAAGCGAAAGUGACGGUAUGCGCAGAAGAAGCACCGGCCAACUACGUGCCAGCAGCCGCCGUAAAAC
rnacentral:rRNA from 1 species